rnacentral:rRNA from 1 species
GACGAACGCUGGCGGCGUGCUUAACACAUGCAAGUCGAACGGAAAGGCCUCUUUCGGGGGGUACUCGAGUGGCGAACGGGUGAGUAACACGUGAGUAACCUGCCCUUGACUUUGGGAUAACUUCAGGAAACUGGGGCUAAUACCGGAUAGGAGCUCCUGCUGCAUGAUGGGGGUUGGAAAGUUUCGGCGGUUGGGGAUGGACUCGCGGCUUAUCAGCUUGUUGGUGGGGUAGUGGCUUACCAAGGCUUUGACGGGUAGCCGGCCUGAGAGGGUGACCGGCCACAUUGGGACUGAGAUACGGCCCAGACUCCUACGGGAGGCAGCAGUGGGGAAUAUUGCACAAUGGGUGGAAGCCUGAUGCAGCAACGCCGUGUGCGGGAUGACGGCCUUCGGGUUGUAAACCGCUUUCGCUCAUGACGAAGCUUUGUGUGACGGUAGUGGGUAAAGAAGCACCGGCUAACUACGUG